rnacentral:rRNA from 1 species
ACACGCAUGACACACAGCAUAUCAAUAAGCGGAGGAAAAGAAACCUAACAAGGAUUCCCUUAGUAACGGCGAGUGAAGCGGGAAGAGCUCAAAUUUGAAAUCUUCAAGGUUCUACCUUGACGAAUUGUAGUUUAUAGAAGUGUUUUCUGUUAGUGGAGUGGCAAAAGUUCUUUGGAAUAGGACAUCAUAGAGGGUGAGAAUCCCGUAUUUGGUCAUUCCUCCUAGCGUUGUGAUACACUUUCAACGAGUCGGAUUGUUUGGGAAUGCAGUCCAAAAUGGGUGGUAAAUUUCAUCUAAAGCUAAAUAUUGGCGAGAGACCGAUAGCGAACAAGUACCGUGAGGGAAAGAUGAAAAGAACUUUGAAAAGAGAGUUAAACAGUACGUGAAAUUGUCAAAAGGGAAGCGUUUGACACCAGUGUUGUUUUUCCGAAAAUCAAUUACGAAUGUUUUAGUUUUUGAGGAGUUAUGACUUCAUCGGCUUGCUCCUUUCUUUAUGAAACUUUCUUAAUGCACUUUUCGGUUAACAAGUCAACAUCAAUUUCUUUUGUUGUAAAAGGGUAUGAGGAAGGUGGCUUUCUUUUCGGAGAAAGUGUUUAUAGCCUUGUGCCUCUGCAAUCGGGAGAUUGAGGUCUGCAGCGUAGAUCCUUCGGGGUUAGAUACAUUUGUGCUAAGUUAUAGCUUUUCAUAGACAACUUGUUGACUACGUUUAGUCUUGUAGCUUACUCGCUUAUGCUAUUUUACCUACGCUUAGGAUGUUGACGAGACUGUCGAUCUC